rnacentral:miRNA from 18 species
UUCACCACCUUCUCCACCCAGC